rnacentral:rRNA from 1 species
CCUACGUGAGGCAGCAGUGAGGAAUAUUGGUCAAUGGCCGGGAGGCUGAACCAGCCAAGUCGCGUGAGGGAAGACGGCCCUACGGGUUGUAAACCUCUUUUGUCAGGGAGCAAGGUGCAGGUCGGGACCUGCUGUGAGAGUACCUGAAGAAAAAGCAUCGGCUAACUCCGUGCCAGCAGCCGCGGUAAUACGGAGGAUGCGAGCGUUAUCCGGAUUUAUUGGGUUUAAAGGGUGCGCAGGCGGAGGCACAAGUCAGCGAUAAAAUCGCGGGGCUCAACCCCGCUCCGCCGUUGAAACUGUGUCCCUUGAGUGCGCGAAGGGUAGGCGGAAUGCGUGGUGUAGCGGUGAAAUGCAUAGAUAUCACGCAGAACUCCGAUUGCGAAGGCAGCAUACCGGCGCUCAACUGACGCUCAUGCACGAAAGUGUGGGUAUCGAACAGGAUUAGAUACCCGAGUAGUC